GUUGAAACUGUAUGAAGUUGUUAAAUUCUCUGAUAUUAUCUCCUCUAAAACAGGAUGUAUAGACUGUCCUUGCAGAAGUCUGUUCUGUCUCCUUUGGUUGGUUUGAGGUUGGUAAAUUAGAUGAAGUCAAGGGCCUACUUGCUGUAACGGGAGUUAACUGUUGUAACUGAGCCCCAUCGGCAGAGACUCUUUUCUUCACAUCUAAACUCCUAUCUACCCAGGCUGUCCGGAGUACACAUGGAUUGGAAGUCCCAUUAACCCACAAGGGGAAACUGUUGGUGACAGAGGAAUAUAUUGAGUUCCUCUUAACUACAGCAAAUCAGAAAAUGGAGGAAAACAAGAGAAGAAUUGGAAGGUUCUAUAACUGCCUACAACAUGCUGUCAAAAGAGAAACAAUUUCAAACUCACGCUCCGAGAUCAAAGAAAAAAAUAACCCACUCUGUACUCCUAAGAAUCAGAGGAAGCAAGGAAAAGCAUGUGACCCAUCUACGACUGAAGAUGAUGGCGGGGAGCAGCUCGAAGGCAGCGAUGGCUGGGGAAUCGGUGCUGUCCUCUUCCUGGGCGAUGACUAAGACUUGGCGGGAAUCGACUCUGGUUCACAUGCUGCUCUUCACAAGAGCGUCAGGAUUCACUGAGGGCACCCGACCCCUCAGGAGGCUGGAGUUAAUCUCUCUAUUGUAGAGAAACUUAAGUGUAAAUGGCUUUUCAAAGUAGCUUUGUAUAUGUUUGCUCUCUGAAGUCUGCUUUUUAAGCAUAUUAGGAUUCACUCUACAAAUAAACCUAAAACUUCCUGUGUCUGUUUAUGUC
rnacentral:lncRNA from 1 species